rnacentral:rRNA from 1 species
AGUGAACGCUGGCGGUAGGCCUAACACAUGCAAGUCGAACGGCAGCACAGUAAGAGCUUGCUCUUACGGGUGGCGAGUGGCGGACGGGUGAGGAAUACAUCGGAAUCUACUUUUUCUUGGGGGAUAACGUAGGGAAACUUACGCUAAUACCUCAUACGACCUACGGGUGAAAGCAGGGGAUCUUCGGACCUUUCGCGAUUCAUUUAGCCGAUGUCGGAUUAGCUAGUUGGCUAGGUAAAGGCUCACCAAGGCGACGAUGCGUAGCUGGCCUGAGAGGAUGAGCGGCCACACGGGAACUGAGACACGGUCCAGACCCCUACGGGAGGCAGCAGUAGGGAAUCUUGCGCAAUGGGCGAAAGCCUGACGGAGCAACACCGCGUGAGUGAUGAAGGUCGUCGGGUCGUAAAACUCUGUUAUUAGGAAAGAACAAAUGCGGAAGAAACUACGCACGUCUUGACGGUACCUAAACAGAAAGCAACGGCUAACUACGUG